AACGAACGCUGGCGGCAGGCUUAAUACAUGCAAGUCGAGCGGGCACUUCGGUGUCAGCGGCGCACGGGUGCGUAACGCGUGGGAACAUGCCUUUAGGUACGGAGCAACCAAGGGAAACUUUGGCUAAUACCGUAUAAUAUCUCUGGAUCAAAGAUUUAUCGCCUAAAGAUUGGCCCGCGUUAGAUUAGGUAGUUGGUGGGGUAAUGGCCUACCAAGCCGACGAUCUAUAGGGGGUCUGAGAGGAUGAUCCCCCACACUGGAACUGAGACACGGUCCAGACUACGACGGGAGGCAGCAGUAAGGAAUAUUGGACAAUGGGCGAAAGCCUGAUCCAGCCAUGCCGCGUGAGUGAUGAAGGCCUUAGGGUUGUAAAGCUCUUUUAGAUGGGAAGAUAAUGACUGUACCAUCAGAAUAAGCCCCGGCUAAAUUCGUG
rnacentral:rRNA from 1 species